GGGGCGGGAGAGGGUGGGCUGGCCCACACACUGCUCCACCAUUUGCCUGAGGGUGCUGAGAAAGCUGGCAGUCUAUGAUGGGAAGUCAUUCUCAAGGAACAUUACCUACAGCUUGAUGUCAGAGAUCGUUCCUGCUUGGCAUGCUGCAUAAACCUGAGGUCAGGAGGCUUGGAAGCUGAAAUACAAGCCAGGAAGUAUGAAUCGGUGCCACUCAGACUUCCCAGCUUACGACUUCAUGAGGUGUGUGUGCAUACCUGUCUCACACGGACAGACCUCAAUCCCAAGUCUGAGCUACACAGAACCAACAAAGCAGAGGUUCCCCAGUUCACCUUUAACUGCCAAGCUCUUUUUCAUAUUGCUGAGGAUCAAAUAUGAGACUGGGGUGAAUAGCCAAUCGAUCUCUUUGAAAGCAUAUAAAUAGUCCUCUUCUAGCUUUAAAGAGGAAAGAGCCAUAGGUGGUGGCAAUUGAAUCUAAGACCAUCCAACAUAUCUAAAGCAUCAGAUAUAACCAGUGGUGUGCUGGUAAAUGUUUAACAACCAACUCCCUGAAAAGAAAAGAAAAUAACUGUGAUUUAUAGUGUUUGUUGAUUUCAUGGUACAAAUACUCCCACCGUGGCCAUUUUCAAGCUGACAAUGUAAAGUCUCUGAACUCACUCUUGGGAAGAGAUGCCACAGUAGGCUCUCGCGACUCGGUAGGAGCAGGCUCCAUCACACUACUCAGUAAAAAAAGCACAAAAUGGAUCGUCUUUUCACAAAACCGCUAAAAAAGUUUUCCAAGGUCUGAUCUAAUGAUUGACAUUCAGAAGAAAGACAUUCCAAGACGUGUCUCAAUAUAUAAAGCCCUUACGGAAUAAUAGGGAUGUCAUUUCACCAACUCAGAAGUCUGCAAAGAGAGAAAGUUCAAGACCUCAGCUUUGGUAGCAGAGGAUCAUGCAGUUGGCUUCCUUGUGUUCAGACACUUAACACCGAUUGCAGAGAAGGCUCUGGCUGUGUCUCUGCAGGCGCUCAAAGCUCAGGUUUUUCACUUUUUUUUUCUUUUUUGACUCUUCACCAACCUCUCUUCCAUAACUCUAGGUAACUUCACAUUAAUCUUACAGAGCAAAAGGUGUUCCCUGUGCCUCCUGCAUAUUCCACCCAAUUCCUGGGACCAGUUGUGGUUUUGGUCCCCAGAACAGCAGCUGCGUUCUUGAGCUCUUCUCUACGCUUUUGCUCAUGGUCUUUAAACGACGGCAGCUAGAGGGUUACGUACCUCACUUUGGCCAUUGAUCGAAGACAGUUUCUAGAUAUUCGAGAUUGAACAGGUUUGAGAGUUCUUGGACAUUGAUAUUCCGAGUGUUAACUUUUAACACCCCUUUGAUUCCAGUGGCUUUGCCCCUCAUUGUGUUCCAGUUAAUUCCCUGAGGACACAGCCUCCGUGACUAGUAGGAUUUGCUUAAAAUAAGAUAAAUAUUUAAUUAAAAAUAUAUUCCCAUCUUUUAAGAAUUGGGGUUCCCAUGAUGCCAAAUAAUCAGGUGAACUAAAAUUUUCACUUUUUAACGGUUGUUUCAGCUUCUUACCAACACAGCCCUUGUUGAGAUGCUUACUACUUUAAUUUAUGCAACUGUUAGUAAUUCUCACUCCACAACUGGUUUACUCUAAAAAUAUGAACAUUUAAUUAUACCAAAGUCAGUAAAUACGACCAUUUUUUUGCAUGAGAAUUCUUGGGAAAACAUUUUAUCCAUCUAAAAUAUCAUUAAUUUAAAAACUAAUUAGACUAAAUAAGAUUUGGCAAGUUCCACCCUAAAGACAAAUCGCUCAUAUUUUUCAAUUUGUUCGUGCACAUUACCAUGGAGACAGCGAAGUCAAAACACACAAGCUAGUGCAUUGUUCAGCUCUGCACUUCCUACUAUAGAUUUGAUUAAGUAAUUCUGGCCUACUCAUUUUGAGAAUUUGAGAACAUAGCAUUGUUUCUUUUGUAAAAACAUGGUCAGCAUUCAGACGUGAUCAAUAAGGCAAGAAUUCGAUCUUACUUGGAAUCUUUGCUCCUUCUAAUGUGAUAAAAUAAGUAAGAGGUAAAUCACUUCCUUCAAUUAGUUAUUUUUGUGGUAAAUGUAAUGCCUCUGAUUCAUUCCUAAGAGCAGCGGGGCUUGAUCUUGUAAAAAAAGAGGCUGAAAAAACUGCUUAUUUGAUGAGUGAGGCAGGUGUCCUUUCAGACUAACGCACCAAAAAAGGUGAUUUGGAGGCUCAUUUCCUUUGCAGAUGCCUUGAAUAUUAUUCUCCACCUUCCUCCCCUACAUUAUACUUGGAACAAUAGGAAAAUGCACCUCCUUUUCUUUUCUUUUUUUUUUUUAAAGAUUUUUUAUUUAUUUAUUUGACAGAGAGAGACACAGCGAGAGAGGGAACACAAGCAGGGGGAGUGGGAGAGGGAGAAGCAGGCUUCCCGCAGAGCAGGGAGCCUGAUGUGGGACUCGAUCCCAGGACCCUGGGAUCAUGACCUGAGCUGAAGGCAGUCGCUUAACCGACUGAGCCACCCAGGCGCCCUGCACCUCCUUUUCAAUGAGGUGUGUUUGUGGUCUUGUAAUUUUGCCUUUAUGGGACCCAUUUGUGAUGGGCUUCUGCUCUCUCAUGGUAACGUUGCUUCUGUCUCCCCUGGAGCUCACCUAGAAAAUCAAGAUGUUAUUAUCUCUAUAUUCUGUUUCUUUUGUCCUUAAGACUGUCAGAAGAGCCAUUCCUAAUGCUUGCCUGUAAUCCAUUUCAUGAAGGAUGUUCCCAGUGGCUUAGCAAAGACAGAGCAAGAGAGAAAGGCAGAGGGAGAAACAGGCUCCCAAGGAGCAGGGAGCCCGAUGCGGGACUCGAUCCCAGGACCCUGAGAUCAUGACCUGAGCCGAAGGCAGACGCUUAACCAUCUGAGCCACCCAGGCGCCCCAAUGAAAUGAUUUCAUUGCGAGUACAGAGAAGCUUCACUCUUUAGGUUUUCCUAUUUCACUCUAUAUGGAAAAUAUCUCAAUAAUCGUUCACUAAUGAAUGUCUUUCCAAUAAUUAAAACGUGAAUAUUUAAUCCUAUAAUUACAUUUCGUCCCAGUAGACAAAUUAUGGGUAUAAUUUCUCGACCAAUUCAUGGAGUACGAAAGAGCCUUCGCGAUCUCAAUCACGGAAACGACCUCUCUUUCCAGCACUGAACUCGGAGCAUAUGCCAGAUGUCCGCGGCACGCAUCUCAGCCAUAGUUACUCUGUAAAUGCCAGCGUCGAGAGUGAGCUCAUGGGAAAGGAACUAUCAGUUCGAAUCGGCCCAGGAAAUGGUCUGUUGGAGAGCUCGGAGCUGAAGCCGGCCUCCUUCCCCCAUCCCCGCCCCAAUCUUGCUGGUUUGGCGGUGGAGGUCGGGGGACUGACUGUUCCUCUGCCUCGGGAAGCCUCGGCCCUCCCCUCCAAGGAGAGCUGGGACAGAUGGGCAGUGUAUUUGACAAGGAACCCCUGCGCCCUUGCUUCAAUGCCCUUCUCCUCUACUUUAAAAGCAGUACUGUAUUUUUUAAGUGUUGGGACUGGCAGCUCUGCCGGUCGCUGGCUCCAGUGAACAAUCCUCCAUUCAAGCCAAGCAGCCCCAGCCCCGAUCCAGGGGAAAGCUGUGAUGAGGGACACAGAGGGAGGCCUCUCUGGCCUCCACCGUGCGGAGGGCGAGGGUUAGGUCAGGCGCCCCGAAGAUUCCAGAGGGGGGAUUUCAGUGGAGUUCUUAUACAGCAGCUAUUAUGCCAUUUCACAAGGAGGAUUUACGAACUGGGGGAAAAAAAAAAAAGAAGAAGAAGAAGUUUACCUUAGUUGGCUUCCUUUUACUGGUGCCACCAGGAUCUGAGCCUCCCCAAAUCUCCUCCAAGCAGGAGGCCUGUCUCCCUCCCUCACUGGAGGCCUCUUCAACCAGGCCAGAUUUUGUAGUACUAACAUUUCUAAGUAAACAGCAGAAUAAAAUGUCCCUUUUAAAAGAGCCAAUGCAGAGAGGAGGUGAGGGAGGGUUUGUGAGUUGCAGUAAGGCAAAGAAAGACAGAAGAGCAAAGAGAGGAGGAAGAAAGGUGAAGUAUCUGCUAAUGGGUUUAAGUCAUUUUAGAUGAAUGGGGUCGGCUGAGUCUCCUAGGGGCCCAUCCACUACCUGCCCAUGAUGGAAGUACCUUCCAGCAGCAGCAGCAACUUCCCAGCACACACAACUACACACACACACACACACACACAUGCCCCCUUGUGCAGCCCCCAUCGCUCAGCCUGAAUCCUCAAUGCGUUUCCCAGAGGUGCUAUAGUAAAGUGCCAGAAAUUGGGUGACUUAGAACAACGGAAAUGUGUCGGCUCACAAUUCUGGAGAAUAGGAGUCCAAAAUCAAGGCCUUUGGCAAGGCCAGGCUCUCUCUGACAGUUCCAGGGGAGAACCUUCCCUUGCUUCUAGCUUCUGGUGUUUGCCAAAUAUCAACCCCGCCACAUAACCAUCUUCCUCCCGUGAGUCCUCACCUCAUCUUCCUUCUGUGUGUCUGUCUCUUCAUCCGAAUUUCUCCUUUUGAUGAAGACACCAGUCAUAUUGGAUUAGGGCCCACCCCUAAUGGCUUCAUUUUAAUUUGAUUAGCUCUGUAAUAGCCCUGUUUUCAAAUAAGGUCCCAUUCUGGGGUACUAGGGAUUAGGACUUCAACAUAUCUUUUUUAGGUGACACAAUUCAACCCAUAACAGGCCCACAUUUGUGAAGCACCUCCCACUACUUUGUGCUUACCUCCUCAAAGGUUGCCCACAGUAGCAGGGUAGGGAAGAAGAACUUCCCAUGCUGGGAUGUAGAAAUAAAGGCAUCAGGGAGGAAUAAACCUCUCAUCUCUUGGGGACUCUUUGCACCAGGCCUGUAUUGGGCACUUUCAUAAUCGCCUUGUGUCUGAACAACUGGAUCACCCACUUCAUUUUCACUUUGCCUUUUCUUCAACCCCUCCUUGAAGACUUUUGCCCCAUAGGCGACUAUGGAUAUGCCUUAGAAAAUAACAUCACCCCAUGGGACACCUGGGUGGCUCAGUUGGUUAAGCGUCUGCCUUUGGCUCAGGUCAUGAUCUCAGAGCCACAUCAGGCUCCUUACUCAGCAGGGAGUCUGCUUCUCCCUCUCCCUCUGCUGCUCCCCCUGCUUGUGCGCUCUCUGUCAAAUAAAUGAAUAAAAUCUUUAAAAAAGAAUAAAAAAAAUAAAAUAAUAUUACCCUGGACAAAUUCUUAAUUUUGUAGAUGAAGAAACUGAGGGUCAGAGAGGCCAAGUGAUCUCUCCCAAGUUGCACAACUAGGUAGUGUCAGAGUAGGGCAAGAAUCCAAUUUGACUGACUCCCACUCCAGCAGUCGUGUUUCAAUGUUUCAACGUCGCCUUCCUAUUUGACUUGACAUUAUUUGCAGGGAGGAAAUAAAUUCAACCUUAUUUUACUUCUACCCUUCUACAGAGAUGAAAUCCCAGGCAGAGUAGAUGGGAGGGCCAGCAGACCCUCCCUGGGGUCAUGCCACUUCUUAGUUGUGUGUCCCCAGGACAGGAGCAAAUUCUCUAUGACUAGAGUAUAAUAUGUAUGUCUUGCACCAAAAUAACUCUGCCCUUACCAGGGCCUGUGUGGAAGAUGGAAAUUCAGAGAGAAAUGGAUACAGACCCUGCCUUGAAGGCGUUCAUAGUCUUGUAGAAGAUUCAGAAAUGUAAGAAAUUAAUCAAGCUCUAAUGGAAUAAGUUGUCACAAUAAAGAUUUUACGUAAGUCUCGGGGGAGUUGGGCAAUGGCUAACAGUCGUGUGGGUUCCAUGGACAAGUUUGCCAGGCUCAGUCAGUAGAGCAGGUGGGUCCGGGAAGGUUUGUCCAGGUUUAUGAUGGCUGACUACAUAGGGUCCUUGGGGCAAACAAGUCAUGAGUGUCAAAAAAGGAGAAAGGAAACAUAGGUUGGAACCAGUUUCUUGAGAUUCUUCAUGCAAUACUAAAUCAUUUAGACUUUGUCUAUGGGUAAUCAAGGUCUGAAGUUGGUUUUAAAGCAGGGAAAUGACAGGAAUCAGAUUUCUCCCUUUGGAAACAGGUGAGGCUGGGACCCAGGAACUGUUGGAAGCACCAGACCUCACCUCCCUCGACACCCAGCACUAGUCCAGGGCCUUCAAGCUGAAGUAACCAACAUCGGGUGACACCCCCGAGCCCCACUUGGGCUCCAGAUCACACACUAGGGCUUCCAAGAAAAGCAGAGAUCGGUAGUAUGCACUGAAUACCCAGUUUACCUGUGGGAAAAUCCAGCUUCAGUGCCACAGAGAAAGCCCCUGACAAGUUGUUAGGAAAGUGCUCCCAGGAGGGAGUCCCUGACAUUUCAGAAAUCCCUGUCCCCCUCUGUGUCCUUCUCCGUCUG